rnacentral:rRNA from 1 species
CAGCGCCGCGGGAACACGAAGGGUGCAAGCGUUACUCGGAAUUACUGGGCGUAAAGCGUGCGUAGGUGGUGGUUUAAGUCCGUUGUGAAAGCCCUGGGCUCAACCUGGGAAUUGCAGUGGAUACUGGGUCACUAGAAUGUGGUAGAGGAUAGUGGAAUUUCCGGUGUAGCAGUGAAAUGCGUAGAGAUCGGAAGGAACAUCUGUGGCGAAGGCGACUAUCUGGGCCAACACUGACACUGAGGCACGAAAGCGUGGGGAGCAAACAGGAUUAGAUACCCCAGUAGUCCCUGUCUCUUAUACA